UGAAACAGAAUUAUGCUGAACAUGACCAAAGAAAAGUCAUAUCAGCAAUUUGAUUGCCAUAGUAUUAAUUUUGUUCAUCACUUACCUACAUAUAUGUGGUAAUUGUAACAAUUUGCAACAAUUUCAAAGAUUAUGAAGAACUUCAGGAGAAGAUCAACAAUUUGCAACAAGAAAUAGAAGUAGGUGCAAAUAUGGCAGGCAGGCAUUUUCAAAGAUGUAAAGCCAGAUGAAAUCUUGAUUAGAAAUUUGAGAUUAGUUCAGUCCUGCACUGGUUUAGUUUUUAACUUCUUUCUUUGCAGUUUGAGGUAGAGAGCAGUUUGGACACCAG
rnacentral:lncRNA from 1 species